rnacentral:rRNA from 1 species
GGGUUGUGAGGUUAAGCGACUAAGCGUACACGGUGGAUGCCCUGGCAGUCAGAGGCGAUGAAGGACGUGCUAAUCUGCGAUAAGCGUCGGUAAGGUGAUAUGAACCGUUAUAACCGGCGAUUUCCGAAUGGGGAAACCCAGUGUGUUUCGACACACUAUCAUUAACUGAAUCCAUAGGUUAAUGAGGCGAACCGGGGGAACUGAAACAUCUAAGUACCCCGAGGAAAAGAAAUCAACCGAGAUUCCCCCAGUAGCGGCGAGCGAACGGGGAGGAGCCCAGAGCCUGAAUCAGUGUGUGUGUUAGUGGAAGUGCCUGGAAAGGCGCGCGAUACAGGGUGACAGCCCCGUACACAAAAAUGCACAUGCUGUGAGCUCGAUGAGUAGGGCGGGACACGUGGUAUCCUGUCUGAAUAUGGGGGGACCAUCCUCCAAGGCUAAAUACUCCUGACUGACCGAUAGUGAACCAGUACCGUGAGGGAAAGGCGAAAAGAACCCCGGCGAGGGGAGUGAAAAAGAACCUGAAACCGUGUACGUACAAGCAGUGGGAGCACAGAGCAAUCUG